rnacentral:rRNA from 1 species
UACGUAGGGCGCAAGCGUUGUCCGGAAUUAUUGGGCGUAAAGAGCUCGUAGGUGGCUUGUUGCGUCUGCCGUGAAAGCCCGUAGCUUAACUACGGGUCUGCGGUGGAUACGGGCAGGCUAGAGGCUGGUAGGGGCAAGCGGAAUUCCUGGUGUAGCGGUGAAAUGCGCAGAUAUCAGGAGGAACACCGGUGGCGAAGGCGGCUUGCUGGGCCAGUUCUGACGCUGAGGAGCGAAAGCGUGGGGAGCGAACAGG